CUGGCAAACUGAUAAACAGCUGCCUGUUUCCCCACUGGGAUGUGUGGGAGUUAGCAUAAAGUCGUCCUGCGCCUCCGUGUUGGACGUGUCACUUGAUAGGAGCGGCGGCGGAACAAGAAGCUGUGACCAUAUCUCACCUACUUAAGACUUUUGGCUUUUAUACGGACUUUAAAGCUAAUGGGCCCGUGCGCUGUUCCUCCCCUGCGGCUCUGUAAAAAGGGACGGACAGUCAGUCACUGCUUACAAGCUCACAGUGUGGAAGUGGCUGUUAACACAAGGACACGGAAAAAUGAAUCGAUGGAAGCUAAUCAAUACUGUGCAGGGGAAUGAGACCAGUUCAGAGUCACUGAUGGCUGUUUUGGUGUUGCUCGGGCUCUGCCGUGUGAAGCCUUUUGGUUUUUAUUUUCAGGGUUUGAACUGCUGGCAAAUGAGGCGAACAGAAGAGCAGCACUUUCUCAACCCCUGGUCCCGGGAUCGCGUUAUCAGCCUCCCGCUUCAUUAUAACAACACAUUCAUUUAAAUCAGACGUGCUGCAACAGGGAUACGUGUGAAACAUGUGGGGCAGUGGGACCCCAGGACCAGACCCUGAAGUGUUGCUUUAGGUGUUUCCAUGCCAACACACCUGAUUCC